AUUGAACGCUGGCGGCAUGCCUUACACAUGCAAGUCGAACGGUAACAGGGAGCUUGCUCCGCUGACGAGUGGCGAACGGGUGAGUAAUGUAUCGGAACGUACCUUUCAGUGGGGGAUAACGUAGCGAAAGUUACGCUAAUACCGCAUAUUCUGUGAGCAGGAAAGCAGGGGAUCGCAAGACCUUGCGCUGAUUGAGCGGCCGAUAUCAGAUUAGCUAGUUGGGGAGGUAAAGGCUCACCAAGGCGACGAUCUGUAGCGGGUCUGAGAGGAUGAUCCGCCACACUGGAACUGAGACACGGUCCAGACUCCUACGGGAGGCAGCAGUGGGGAAUUUUGGACAAUGGGGGCAACCCUGAUCCAGCCAUGCCGCGUGAGUGAAGAAGGCCUUCGGGUUGUAAAGCUCUUUCGGCCGGGAAGAAAUCGCAUGGGUUAAUACCCUGUGCGGAUGACGGUACCGGCAUAAGAAGCACCGGCUAACUACGUGCCAGCAGCCGCGGUAACUC
rnacentral:rRNA from 1 species